AGUGAACGCUGGCGGUAGGCCUAACACAUGCAAGUCGAACGGCAGCACAGUAAGAGCUUGCUCUUACGGGUGGCGAGUGGCGGACGGGUGAGGAAUACAUCGGAAUCUACUUUUUCGUGGGGGAUAACGUAGGGAAACUUACGCUAAUACCGCAUACGACCUACGGGUGAAAGCAGGGGAUCUUCGGACUUUGCGCGAUUGAAUGAGCCGAUGUCGGAUUAGCUAGUUGGCGGGGUAAAGGCCCACCAAGGCGACGAUCCGUAGCUGGUCUGAGAGGAUGAUCAGCCACACUGGAACUGAGACACGGUCCAGACUCCUACGGGAGGCAGCAGUGGGGAAUAUUGGACAAUGGGCGCAAGCCUGAUCCAGCCAUACCGCGUGGGUGAUGAAGGCCUUCGGGUUGUAAAGCCCUUUUGUUGGGAAAGAAAAGCAGCAGGUUAAUACCCCGCUAUUCUGACGGUACCCAAAGAAUAAGCACCGGCUAACUUCGUG
rnacentral:rRNA from 1 species